rnacentral:sRNA from 1 species
ACAUCGUCGAACGUCUUUUCUUUUAUCACUUGCCGAACGUCUUUUCUUUUAUCACUUGGUGCAUAAGGCUAUCCAAUUUCAUUUUAAAAACUCGGCAAAUGAUAUCAGGCCUAUCUUCUCGCUUAAGCUUGUGCCUGGCUAGGUAACGCACGACUUCAGACCAUUUAGGAUUGCACGUAAUUGUUACAAAAAGAUCGGGAAAACAUGUAAGAAAUAGUGUCAAAACACAAAGUAGAAAAAAAAUACGAUAAUAGUUAAAAAGUUUACAUACGAAUUUGUAAUUUUAAGAAGAUCAAAAGAGAAGAAAUAUAAAUAAUAUCAUAAAAUUUAAAGGGUUAUAAUGCAAAUGUUGAACUUUGGGGGACCAGCUGACUUCCUUUAAUCUUCUUUGGGUCUGCCUAUGCGGCAGACCCAUAAAUACUUUUUACAGAAUCAAAAUAUAACUCAAAAUAAUAAGUAAUUAAAAACAACUAAAACAUUAUUAAAAAAUCUUCAUCUCUUUUAAAAAAUACCAGAAAAGUUAUUUAGAUGAUACCCAAAAGUUAUUUAUUUGACACAAUCAAACGAACAUGGAACUCAAAAAAUAAAAUAAACAAAUCAGUAAUAUCAUAU